GAAGUAGAGACGACACUUCCUCUUCUUUCGAAAGAGAUUUUCUCUCUGGCCAGCUUCUUAUGGUAGUCCUGGGUAGCCUGACUGCCCGAGCUGUGGCUGUUUACGGUGGAACCCUCAAGUGUGGCCUCCAAGUGUUAAGAGCUUUCUGAAUUCAAGGGAUUAAACAACCUGUGCUUGGAUUUACUCUCUUUAUUGCAUACGCAGGGCAACAGAGGACCUGCUUAUACUGUGAUGUGACCUCUGGUCCUGAGUGAGCAGAUCAUUGUGCCAGCUCAGGAGCAACAGAACCAGAACGAGGAAACUCACAGCUUUUUGCUUGCUGCAGAAUACAAGGGAAGCAUUCUUUUCACAGUUAUCACUCAAGAAUUCAUCCUUUUGUGAUUCCAUGGAUAUAACUGAAAUUCUGGUAAUUUUUCAGAAAACAUUAAUAUAUUAAUUUAAGUGCUCCUAUUUAUGUAUGAGCCAAAAAACAAUAGUAAUAAUAACCACUUUUCGCCCCAGUGUGUCCUUUGACCAAUUUCAAUUAUCUUGCAGCUGACUCGUAACCUGUUGAAUCACCGUCAUCCUUUCUGAUGACCACUGGCCUUCUCUUUUUCUUUCCGUAGUUGUUAAAACCCAGUGUCCUGGUUGUCCAACUUACUGAAGCACAAAAAUUACUUUUGUUGCCUUCUUCGGUGUUCAGAUGUUUUCAAAUAUAUAAAUUACUAUUGUUCCAACAUGUGUGUACUAAAGAUUUUCAUUUACUGAUGUGGUGGAUUAUAUAACUCAGCCAAUAAGAUUCCUAGGUUGCCUUCUAUGGUAAAGAAUGCUUUAUCAACCCUAACAUCUGACGUUUCAUUGAGAAAUUUAAGGUAGCCCUUUUCAUCCUUGCACUUUUCAUGGACGGUUUACGAAACUGGUUAUACUAAGGAAUUGACAAAAUUGGGUAGAUCUUUACCAUCUUCGAAAGUUGUCAAGUAAUUUUCUAGUAAAACAUUUCUGAUCCUUAGUUUAGGAUUCCCCCAUCAAGAUGUGUAUCUAUCUAGAAAGAGCCUUAUUUAUUUAUCAGAAAACGGUGUGUUGUAAGGGAACCCUGAACUAGUAAACACUGAAUUAAAUAAACUCCAUGGUCUUUUAUAACAUACAAAACUUGGUAUUUCUUAUGUAAGAUGAUUCUCAGCUAUGCAACCCAUGACCAAAUUAGAGUCUUUGAGUCUUCACAGAGACAGAGUUAGUGGUAAAGAGGGCAGUCUCUGAAUUUAGGUGGCCUGGGUUUGAUUCUUGUCUCUUACACUUACUAGCUAUGUCACUUUGGUCAUGUUACUUAAUCUUUGCCUCACUUUCUUCAUUUGUUGAAUGGAGAUGGUAAUAGUAUCUAAUAAAGCUGCUAUGAGAUUUUAAUGCUUUGAUAUGAAUACAGUUCUUAGAACCAUAUUUGGUACACAGUUUGGCACUCAAUAAAUAUCAGUUUUGAUGGUGAUGGAUGAAUGAUAUUGUCAUCAGCUGGGGCAUUUGUGCCUCUUAGAGAGUUUUCUAUAUUUUUCAAUAAUCCCCUAAGAGUGGCGUGCAUCUGAUUGUGAUUUCUAAGAAUUUCCAGCAACUUAUUUCUUCAAGAAUCCUGAUAUACUAUCUCUGUUCCACCUGAAGCCGACAUGAAGAUAAAGCUCAAAUGCUUUUUUGCUUCUUAGUUGUACCAACAUUAUAGAAGCAAUAGACAUCACCUCUGUAAGACGGCUUUCCUCACUCCCCAGGCUCCAUUUCCCAAUUUCCUCGCAUUGCUUCAUGCAGGCGGACCUGCAUACAUUCAAAUAGCUCUGGAUCUCAGAUUUCAUUACAAAGAGCCUUAUUUUGAUACUUUCUAGCCAAGCAAGACAUUUACCUAAAAUAAAGUCUUGAACCAGCUACUAGGAUAAUAAAAUGUCCUCCAAUUUAAUGCAAAAGCAUAUUAAUAAUUUUAAUCUUUAUCAUUGUCAUUAAUCAACAGUAAAGGACUAUUGCUAAUAUAGUCACUUUGAUAUAGAUGUAGUCACUUUUUUGAUAUAUUAUAGAUAUAUAGCAUAGAGUCCAAGUGUGUGUAGUGGGAAUAAAUUGCUAAUAUAGUCAUUUUGAUAUAUUAUAUAUAUAUAGUAUAGAGUCCAAGUGUGUGUAGUGGGAGUAAGUAGUUCAUAAUUAAUUCUCAUUCACAUAUGCAUAGAUUUCUGGCCCCAUGAUUAUUUUGAGUUCUUCAUAGAUUUAAUAAUUUUUUACCUUUAUAUUGUAGCAAAACACACAUAGCCAUAAAAUUUACCAUCUGAACCAUUUUAAGCUUACAGUUCAGUGGUGUUAAAUACAUUCAUAUUAUUGUACAACCAUCACCACCAUCAUUCCCUACUAUUCCUUUCAUCUUGUAGAACUGAAAUUGUAUGCUCAUUAAACAAUAAUACUCCUUUCUUCCCUCUCACCUGCCCUUGGCAGCUACCGUUAUAUGAUUUUUAGUACCCUAAAUAUUUCAUAUAAGUGGAAUCAUACAGUAUGGCUUGUUUCACUUAGCGUAAUGUCCUCACAGUUUAUGUUGUAGCAUAUUAUAGAAUUUCCUUCCCUUCCUUCUUUAAGGCUGAAUAAUAUUCCACAUUUUGCCUAUCCAUUCCUCUGUUGAUGGGUUGUGUCCAUGUUUUAGCUAUUGUGAAUAAGGCUUCCUUGAAAAUGGAUGUACACAUAUUUCUUUGAGGCCCUGAUUUCAGUUCUUUGGGAUACAUGCCCAGAAGUCAAGUUGACGGAUCAUAUGGUAAUUCCAUAUUUAUUUGAGGAAUUGCCAUACUGUUUUCCACAGUGACUAUAUCAUUUUACAUUUUCGCCAACAGUCUUCACAGAGUUCUUAAGUACAGAAUGCUCAUCUAAUUAUUUUGACAUAUUCCUAUUGGGAAGUGAAUAUCAUGAAGUUUUAUUUGAAUACACGUUGAACACAAGGCUAUACUAUAUUUUUUUCCUGUUCUUUUUUUUUUUUUUUCCUUGGGGCGCCUAGGAGUGUUAUGGUCUAAGACCUACUUAAUGUUAAUUUAUGUUGCCAGGUGAUUCAGAGUGUCAGUGGAGUUUUUCCAGAACAGAAAUAUGUGGGGCCAAGUCUCAAACUUCUAAUGGAAAAACAACUUGGACUCCAAGGAUUUCUUGGCUUGUUUUAAAAUAAACUCUACGUUAAAAUCUUGUGUUCUGGUAGCAAAGGAGUAGAUGACCACAUGCUUUCUUUUUGAAGGCUCGUAAUUUUUUUUUGCACAAAAUAUACCAAUGUGAACAGGAGUGGGGACAACCUGAUUACAAAAAAAGAAUUGGCUAGCUGGAGAAUUACUUCCAUAUAUAUUUUAUAUCUAUCUAUCUAUAUAUAUAUAUAGAACAAAGAUUAUUCUUUGAGACAGAUCUGUAAGGUUUUCAAAUUAUUGACAGGAAAGCUUCACACUUGGGCCAUUAUUUUACCUCAUUAAUAAUAUUUGUGCUUUUUUCAAUUUUGAUUAAAAAUAUACAUAAAAAAUUGAUUUCUAAGGGACAGAAUCUUAUUUCAAAACUGAAAUGUAUUAGCUGAAUUUUGGACAAUUUUGAGGUUAUUUGCACAAAUUAAAGGGGCAUUUUUCCAGAAAAUUUUCUGCAUUUACUGUUUGCAGACAGUGAGGAAAAGGGGAGGAGAGAAAUACGCUUAUCCAGGGAGCAAGAGAUUUCUCUCUGUCAGACAUUUCAUUUUCCCUUAGUUUAUUGUCCUCAGUAGAAACAUCAAUGUCUUUCCCAAUAAAAUCACCUCCACUACAGUGUUUAAGAAAGACGUGAACUACCCUGGGUCUGUGUCAAUUCAACUUAACAAGAGAAAAAUUUAAACGUAACUGCAAUAAAAUUUGAAAAGACUCCUGUUAAUGAUUUGUGAGGCAAAAGUAACCCUUAUGAGGCUAGGCGAGGCUACGCUGGGGUAGCAAAUUAACCCUGAAAUCUCCGUGGCUUAACACAGGCACCAUUUUUCUUAUUUACACUCUACGUUCAAAGCUGAUUGACAUGAGAAGGGAAGGGCUCCUCCAUGCCACACAGUCACUCAGAGUAAAGCACCACCAUCCUGUGGCAUCACCAUGGCAACAGGGGCAUCAGGGUUUGCUGUGGCAGGAAUGAAGUAUGGAGGAUGCAUACUCUUCUCCAGACUGAAGGCCUUGCAACACCUCCACCCAGAGCCUACUGCCCAGCAGUAGCCAUAUGGCCUCUCCUAACCACAGGGCGCUGGAGGUGUUCCUGGGGCCCUGGCAGGAGGGGAAAACUAGAUAGAGUGAGCACCAGUAAUUUCUUCUUUGAUAAAUUUUGCUGGUAAUUCUCAUAUGAGGCCCCCAUAUGAAACAAGGAGAAAUUUCCUUCCUGUAUCGUUCACAUUUAUAAUUCUUUACAUUUUAAUAUGUAGAUAAGCAAUUUUAACCUUUUAAAAUUAAUUUCACUUUUUUGGUAAUUGGUAACUUUAGGUAAGAAUAAAUAAAACAAGAAUUACUGAGGAGGAAUUAGUUAGGAUAUAGAUAUCAUCAACAAUAGAAAAAAAAAGCCCUCAAAUAUUUAGGUAUCUAUAGAUUCUUAUUUGUAUUAGUAGUAGUAGCUACUAUUUCUUUUUCUUCUCGAUUAAACUGUAACUUGAAAUUAAAUGUAACUCUAAAUACAGGGAGGCUUGAUUGCAAAAUCCGUUCAUGGGAUAUUGAGCUAGGAAUAUGAAACUAAGGACAGUUUUAGUAGAUGGUCUUUCAUAAGUUCUUUUUUAAAAAAUAUGAUCAGCUUUCUCUGAAUCUUAAUCUCAUGUUUUUCUUCUUAAAUCUCCUUUUCACUUUAUUGGAGUAUUUUACCAAGAACUAUCUUUAUACAGGAUACAUGGGGAAUAAGCAUGUCUCAGCAUGUAUUUUGACCUCACAAUUGAUUGCGUGUUUGACUGGAUAUUGAAUUUUAUGUAGAGAAUUAAUUUUCGUCUAGAACUUCCAAGGCAUUUCGCCAACAUCCUUGUACAUCUCACGUUGCACAUGAGAAAUUUGUCACUCUUACUCUUGUUUCUUUGUGGAUAAUACCUAUUUAACCUGUCCAUAAAUUUUUAUAAUUCUUUGUAUACUUUUGAAAUUCUAAAAUUUCACAAGACAUAUUCAAGCGUGCAGUUUUUCAAAUAUGUCUGAUUCAGCAUUUUGUGGGAUGGGAAGUUUUCCUUUUUCCCCCUCUGUCUGGGCUCUUCUCACUGGUUCGGUUUCAUUCUCUAGUCUCUCCACCAAGUAACCAACAUGGCCACAGCUAAUUCCAGGUUUGUACUGCAUUUAUGACUAAAAUCCCAGAGAAAAGGAUGAAACUUUGUCCUAAUUCUCCAGGCAGAAUUUUCCCAUGAGCCUGAUUUGGUUCAUGUACUCCUUUCUGAAUUGGUCACUGUGUCAAAGAAGACAAGUACUUUGGUCCACCUACUUCUUUUUUAAAAAAUUUAAUUUAAUUUUUUGGGCCACGCCCAUGGCAUGCUGAAGUUCUUGGCCAGGCAUCGAACCCUCUACUUCUCUAAUCACCUCUACUGAUAACGGCUCUGGCUCAAGACAUUCUUACAUCUUUGGAUGACUGCGGGAGCCUCUUAACUGGUUUCUCAAUGUAUAUCCUUGUUCAAUCAAUCUAUUUAUCUAUCUGUUUAUUUAUAUGGAAGUUCCCUGGCCAGGGAUUGAAUCCAAGCUGCAGCUGCAACCUCCUCUGCAGGUGCGGGCAUACCAGAUCUUUUAACCCACUGUGCUGGGGUGGAACCUAUAACUCGGCAGCAACCUGAGCCACUGCAGUCGGAAUCUUAACCCACUACACCACAGCAGGAACUCCUUGUUCGGUCAUUUUAAAUGCUAGAGCCAGAGCUGUUAGUGUGUUUGUCAGAUCAAAAUCUUAUAAAGCUUGCCUGUUCCACUUCAAAGACAGCUAGGGCUGAUCUUCAAACAUUGCCUAAAAGACCAUCUAGAGCUACACGAUCUGACCUCCCACGACCCUCUGACCUCAUCUACUGCCACCCUCUUUCUACGGCUCCUUCAGCCUCAGCCAUGCUGGCCUCUGAGCCACGCGUUACACCUGCCAGACACAUCGCCUAUCCCAGUCUGGGGCCUCCCCUUGGCCAUUCUCUAAACCUGGGCUGCUCCACUCUGUGACAGUCAUAGGCUGCUUCUUCAUCUCUUUCAGGUCUUAACUCAAAUGUCAACUAUGUAGUGAGACCAUUUCUAUUUAAAAAUCACAACUCUUUAUAACACUCUCGCCUACAUUUUAUUUUUCGCCAUUUAUCUCCAUAUUAUCUCUAAUAUACCAUUUAUUUUACUUACUUAUCCUGUUCAUUGUCUCUCCCCAUGAAAUGUAGACCCCUUGGUUGCAGGAGGUUUUUAAUCUGUUGUGUUCAGUAUUGUAUCUUCAGGCUAUAAAAUUGUGCCUGGCACCUAGUCAGCCAGUACAUACUCGACGAAUGAAUGAAUGAUUGGCAAACCUACGCCAGGAGCUGGCUCCUGUUUUGUGGAUGUGGGGCCGUAUGAUUGACAGUGCCCACAAGGGAGAGAAGAGGCAUUCCUCAAAGAAAAAGGAGCUAGUCAGACAAACAUUAAUAAAUAGCCAAUAAAAUAUCCUUCUAUUGAGCUUUGAGAAAUGGGGGUCUGUUUUAAAAGAGCCUAAGAUUAAUAGCUGAAAGAAAGCAGCAGAUCUGAAAUCUGACAGUAAUUUUUCAAUUUGUUUGAUGAGUUUUGUGUGUGUAUAAUUUCUGUAUGUGUUAUAAUUAGUCUUUAAUGUUAGGUAAUUUUGUCUGGGAAAAUUAUGGGGAGAAUAAUUUUAUCUGAUUUUAUGGAUAAUUUAUUUCAUUUUCAAUUAGAUUCUUACUCUCAGUGAUCAAUGUGCCAAAAAAUAAAUUAGACUUUGGUAAAGAAUAUUUUAUUUCUUUCAGAAAAGGCAGGUUGCAAAAUGGAUAAUUGCAUAAUCUCUCUAUAUGAUAUUUUUCUUAGCUAUUUGCCUGUAUGCAAAUGAAUUUUUCUUUUAGGACCACACCUGUGGUAUAUGGAGGUUCCCAGGCUAGGGGUUGAA